AAUUAAUAAUUUUAAUUAAAAAUAAUAACAUAGUCGCAUUUUCUUUUUCUCCUUUUUCUUUCUUUCCUCUCUUUCCUUUAGUUUUGAACUGUUGUUAUUAUUGAAGGUUUUAAUUGUAUUUUAUAUUAUUAUUUAACCUUUUGUAAGCUAUCCUGAGGCUUCUGCAAAGGAUGGGAUAAAAAUGUUUUAAAUAAAAUAUUAUAUAAU